ACCACCGAAUUUUGCAUAUCAAUAAGCNGAGGAAAAGAAACCAACAGGGAUUGCCUCAGUAACGGCGAGUGAAGCGGCAAAAGCUCAAAUUUGAAAUCCCCCCGGGGAGUUGUAAUUUGAAGAUUGCGUCUUGGAGGCGACCGUGUCUAUGUUCCUUGGAACAGGACGUCACAGAGGGUGAGAAUCCCGUGCGGCACGGCCCCCGGCUCCUUAUAAGGCGCUCUCGACGAGUCGAGUUGUUUGGGAAUGCAGCUCAAAGUGGGUGGUAAAUUCCAUCUAAAGCUAAAUACAGGCGAGAGACCGAUAGCGAACAAGUACAGUGAUGGAAAGAUGAAAAGCACUUUGAAAAGAGAGUGAAACAGCACGUGAAAUUGUUGAAAGGGAAGGGCAUGCCGUCAGAUUGUCAGUGUGGGUAAGAAGCGGGGUACAAAGACUGUGGAACGUGGCCCUCGGGUGUUAUAGCCGCAGUUCAUGCCCCGUCUCUUUCCGAGGCCUGCUUUGAGGACACCGACGUAAUGACGGUACGCCGCCCGUCUUGAACCACGGACCAAAAAGGCGGAUUA
rnacentral:rRNA from 1 species